UUAGAGAUGUUACUUGAAAAUGGAGUUAAUGUUUCAUGUUAAAAUUUGCAGACAGUUAAAUAUCUGCUAAAAAACAAUAAGAUUGAGGUCAACUUAAAGGACGACAAUGGGAACACAACACUAGACAUUUUAACACAAAGUCGAAGAGACAUGAAUGAUCUGGAAAUUGGAGACCGUCUCCGUGAUGCUGGAGGUUUAAGAGCCAAGGACAUGAUUUCAUCAUCCUACACCAAAAAUGUAGCCAAAUGUUGUAAUUCUCAAGUUGCUUUAGCCCACAAGCACGACAUUUCAGGUGAUUGGCUUUCGAGGAAACGUGAUGCAAUAAUGGUAGUGGCAUCGCUUAUUGCAACUAUGGCGUUUCAAGCAGGAAUGAACCCUCCAGGAGGCGUCUGGCAAGACAAUAAGGAAGUGCUAAUUUCUCAAGUAAACUCCCUACAAAUACCACACAAAGCAGGGGAAGCAGUAAUGGCGUAUAGUCAUCCCAAAUCAUAUCGAUACUUUAUCCGUGUCAACACAACAGCCUUUGUGGCUUCUCUUAGCACAAUACUGCUGCUAAUAAGUGGAUUGCCCUUCAGGAAAAAGUUUUUUAUGUGGGCUUUAAUGGUUAUUAUGUGGUUGACAAUAACCUCAAUAGCACUCACUUAUGGCAUAUCAAUAUACAUUGUCACGCCUAAGAAGGACCGAGAACAACUUGGCCAGGUUAUUGAAGUUGCUGUUACAGUAUGGAGCUCUGUAAUGGCAUUACUUUUGCUUGGAAACACAAUUCGUUUGGUCUAUAAAUGGAUGAUGAGAAAGAAGCAACAAUCAAGAACAUCCGAGACUAGAAAAUCUGCAAAUUUUGUUCAUGUCAAUGUUUGAGGAUAUUGCAUUUAAACUGUGCAACUCUUUGAUGAAGGAAUUUUAACUAGCUAGCCUAUGUAUUUUGGUAAGACCAAAGCUACACAAAUCAGUCUAUAUGAUUUUUGAUCUUACCAUUUCAGAAAGCUUUCUAUUUUUAUUUAUUUAUAAAUAAGAUCAACCACAAUCUUCUCUUGCUUAAUUGCAAGCACAAAAUAGGGCCCUGUUAACAAACCAAAAAAGAAUUGAUAUAGAUGAAUUUGUUAAGAAGUCGUUUAGAUUUUAAAACAGAUGAAGUGGACUCUAUAUGAUAAGGCAGAAAAUUGUACCGCACUUGCUUUAACCAAGAUAUAGCACAUGUACUAACAAAUUUAGUGGAUCCUUCAAACAUAAUAAAAAUUUGGUAAAAUCUAGUGGUUUUGCUUUGAUCAAUUGGUUUCACUUUAAAGAGUAAUUUUGCAAUUUUUAGCUUUUAUGUUGAUUCAAAGAUGGGGUGAUUAUAUAGUGGAAGCUUCUGGAGGGAAAUAGAACACGUUUCUGCUUAGACGUUAUCCGUAUUCUACACUCUUCUAGAACAUGGUUCAAAUUGCUAGCAAGUAUGGUGAAAAUAAUUCUCCUUAGAAAAUAAAUAAUUACCUUCAUCUUUUCUUUUAGAUUGUUGUUUUCACUAUUGUCUUUGUCCAAGUUCUUAUUAUGACAUGUUUUAAAUGAUCAAAAUAAUCCUUAAUAUAUGAGUUUAAAUUAAUUUGGUCCCUCAUAUAAGGUAGCUUAUGGAAAUGGUUGGUCCUUUAUCUAUGUAAAUAACAAAUAUAUUUGUUUUAACUCCCAAACAAGAUCCCGAACGAGAACGAUAAAUAAACGAUGCACCUACCUAUUGACACAUCCAUUCAAUUGAAUUUGCCAGACUUCUAAA
rnacentral:lncRNA from 1 species